rnacentral:rRNA from 2 species
GUCGGGAACUCAAAGGAGACUGCCAGUGAUAAACUGGAGGAAGGUGGGGAUGACGUCAAGUCAUCAUGGCCCUUACGACCAGGGCUACACACGUGCUACAAUGGCGCAUACAAAGAGAAGCGACCUCGCGAGAGCAAGCGGACCUCAUAAAGUGCGUCGUAGUCCGGAUUGGAGUCUGCAACUCGACUCCAUGAAGUCGGAAUCGCUAGUAAUCGUGGAUCAGAAUGCCACGGUGAAUACGUUCCCGGGCCUUGUACACACCGCCCGUCACACCAUGGGAGUGGGUUGCAAAAGAAGUAGGUAGCUUAACCUUCGGGAGGGCGCUUACCACUUUGUGAUUCAUGACUGGGGUGAAGUCGUAACAAGGUAACCGUAGGGGAACCUGC